GGGUGACUGAAAUUUAAAACAAGGUGUCAGCAAAGGCAUUAGUGAGAAGAUGGCAUCUGGGUAAAGACCACAAAACAGGGUCUUCAUUGUAAUAAUAAUAAAACAACAUUUGAACUGAACUAAAGCCUAUGAUUUUAGAGCCAAUAGAAUCAUCCAUCUGCUUUUCCAGGUGUGCUUCUCUGAUAGCGACCUCUACCUCAUCUCUGGGAAUCUAGUAGUGAAGAGGAAUCCCUUCUCUAUGGACUGUAUCCACAAAGCAGGUGCAUUCACAUCAUAAAAGCUCAGUAAGGUGCCUGCCAGAUCACUACAAAAUCUGCACAUGAAGAUCUUUAUCUAUCACAGCAAAAGUGUGCAGAGCUUGUAACAGUGGUUCCCAAACCGAUUUGCACAUUAGUGUCAAAUCUUAUAUAUCUAUCUUAUAUAUCUAUAUAUCAUGCUGAGGCCCCAUCCUAGAACAAUUAAAUCCGAAUCACUAUAGAUAGGUCCCAGAUACCAGUAUUUUUUACAAGUCCUCAGAUAAUUCUAAUAUGAAACCAGGGUUGAGAACUACUAGCCUGAAGCUUCUCUAAUGUGGUCUGCAGACCAGUUGCAUCUCCUGGGAAACUCAGAAAUGCAGAAUCUCAGACCCCACCUGAGACUAACUAAACCAGAAUCUGCAAUGUAAUACCAUUCCCAGUAUUUCUGUGCACAUUCAAGUAUGAGAAUCACUGGCCUAGCGAUUUUCACUGGUCUUGCAUUGUGUGGGCAAGUUCUAAAUGACACUCAUAAGAUGAAGCAAACCCUCACCUUGAAGAUUACACUGAUCCAGCAGUAUAAAUGUAUAUAAAUGUAAAGCAAUCCCCCAGAAACCAGCUGGGACAGCUCCCUAUACGUGGAAAGAAUGUUAGAGGCAAGUCCUAUCAAUAUACGGAGCAGGGCAUUGGCUUGAAGUGAAACAGUUACUAGUACAUCCCUAGUUGAAUCUAGGGAGGCCCGGGAUGGAACUGGUGAAAGGUACAAAAGAAACUUUGUAACUUAACAUUUUAAACAUUUUAAUUUGUUACAUAUAUAUGUGUGUAUAUAUACACAUAUAUAUACACACACAUAUAUAUACACACACACACAUAUAUAUAUAUAUAUACACACACACACAUAUAUAUAUGAAGUUUUUCCCUGAGGUCUAAAAUAUUUAUUUCAUCUACACAAUAAACAUUUCUUUCAAGUAUACAAAAUUUCUUUCAUUGAAAGUUCAAUGCAACAAGACUUCCAACCUUGUGAAAUCAUGCAGCUUUUAUAUUCCUUCAUCUCUUGCUUGCUAAUCACCUAAGAAUUCUCGCCAUAGACAACUAGUGAGCUAUGAAAACUGCUGGUGAUCCCAGUUGCAACCUGGCAAUACUGCUACUGGUGAAUGAACGCCUGGUACACCACAGCUGUGAGAGUCGGGGCAAAAUCCAGGUGAGAUCAAAUAACUUGAGGGCAACCUGAGGGUACAGCUGAUUUAGCCCAAGAGGUAAUGUUAAAAGUAAAGAAAUACCAAAAUGAUUUUAAGUUAAAAUUUACUUGAACUUGAGCUCUAAAAUUACUGCACAGGAAAUUCAAGAUGUCAUCAAUUUAACUACUGUCUGCAAAACAUAAAGAAAUAAAUAUUGAAGCAGGGAGCGACCAAGAUGGCUGACUAGAAGCAGCUAGGGUGCGUGGCUCUCAAAGACAGGAAUGAAAGGGGCGAGUAAAUACAGCACUUUCAAUUGAAACAUCCAGGUACCUGCAUUGGGACUAAUCAAGGAAACAACCUGACCCACAGAGAACAGAGAAAAGCAAGGCAAAAUGAUGGCCCACCAGGGAGCCACACGGAGUCAAGGGAAUCUCCCCUGCCCAGGGAAGCAGGGAGUGAAUGUGUGACCCAAGGAAACCACACUUGCCCCACCAAUCUUUGCAACUCCCGGGUCAGGAGAACCCUUCAUGAAACCACUCCACUAGGGCCUUCAGUCCGACACACAGAACUAUGUGGAGUCUUGGCAGAGCAGCCACUCAGGCAUACACAGAAACCCAGGAGCUUUACAUAAUCCAGCUCUGGGCUUCCUGGCAAAAGUAACUACAACUCAGGCAAAGAGGGAGGUUAGACCUCCAUACAUACCCCUAGGAAAGAGGUUGAAUCCAUGGGGCUCAGCAGUGAUGGUCAGCGGGCCUCACUUCCACGGCACCUCACAGGAUGACACACUGGCUUGGAAUUCCAGCCAGGCACGGACAACAGUGUUGCAUGGAGCUGUGACACAGUUCCUGGGGGAAGGGGUGGCUGCCAUCUUUCCUGUUCCAGCCUGUGGGCUUUGGAGAGUCCAAACCCACGGGGGCAGAAGGGAUCCCCCAGCACAGCACAGCUGCUCUACCAAAACAUGGCCAGACUGCUUCUUUAAGUGAAUCCCGGAUCCAUUCCUCCUCACUGGGUGGGACCUCCCAACCCAGGCCUCCAGCCACCCCACUGGUGUUUUCUGGCUGACAGAGAUUUAAGAACCUCCUGGGAGAGAGUUCCCAGAAGGAGGGGUGGGCCACCAUCUUUGCUGUCUGGGUGACUUAGCUGUUCCAGCUUCAUGCUUGGAGAGCCCAAGCCAACUGGGGGCAGAGGGGGUACCCCUAGCACAGUACAGCUGUUCUAAAAAAUGUGGCCAAACUGCUUCUGUAAGCAGGUCCCCUGUGUUGUUCCUCCUGACUGGGUGAGACCUCACAACUGGGGUCUCCAGCUACCUCCUACCGCUGCAUUCAGGCUGGCAACAGGUCCAUAACUCCCUGGGAUGGGACUCCCACAGGAAGGGGUACACUGCCAUCUUUGUUGCUUUGUAGCCUUCACUGGUGAUACCUCCAGAUACUGAAAAAUCCAAGGCCACUAGGGACUGGAGCAGACCCCUAGCAAACCAUAGCAGCACUACAGAAAAGUAGCCAGAUUUUAAAAAUAGGAAAAAAAAAACAAAACAGCAACCUCAAAUACUGAAGGUAGAUAAGCCCACAAAGAUGAGAAAGAAUCAACACAAGAACACUGAAAACUCAAAAAGCCAGAGUGCCCUCUUUCCUCCAAAUGACUGUAUCACCUCUCCAGCAAGUGUUCAGAACUGGGCUGAGGACAACAUGGCUGAAAUGACAGAAGUAGAAUUCAGAAUAUGGAUAAAACCAAACUUUCUGAGCUAAAGGAGUACAUUAUAACCCAAGCAAGGAAGCUAAAAAUCACGCUAAAACAUUGCAGGAGCUGACAGACAAAACAGCCAGUAGAGAGUACUGUAACCAACCUGACAGAGACAAAAAACACACUACAAGGAUUUCAUAACGGAAUAAAAAGUAUUAAUAUCAGAAUAGACCACGUAGAGGAAUCUCAGAGCUUAAAGACUGUGUUUCUGAAAUAAGACAGGCAGAGAAGAAUAGAGAAAAAAAGAAUGAAAAGAAAUGAACAAAACCUCCAAGAAAUAUGGGAUUAUGUAGAGACUGAAUCUACCACUGACUGGUAUACCUGAAAGAGAUGAGGAGAAUGGAACCAAUUUGGAAAACAUAUUUUAGGAUAUCAUCCAUGAGAAUGUACCCAACCUAGCUAGACAGGCCAACCUUCAAAUUCAGGAAAUGCAGAGAACCCCAGUAAGAUACUCCAUGAGAAGAACAUCCCCAAGACACAUAAUCAUCAGAUUAUCCAAGGUCGAAACGAAGAAAAAAUAUUAAAGACAGUGAGAAAGAAAGGCCAGGUCACUUUCAAAGGGAAGACAAUCAGACUAAUAAUGGACCUCUCAGCAGAAACCCUACAAGCCAGAAGAGAUUGGGGGCCAAUAUUCAACAUUCUUAAAGAAAAGAAAUUCCAACCCAGAAUUUCAUAUCCAGCCAAACUAAGCUUCAAGCAAAGGAGAAAUAGAUUCUUUCAGACAAGCAAAUGCUAAGGGAAUUCAUUACCACCAGACCUGCCUUACAAGACUCCUGAAGGACACACUACAUAUGGCAAAGAAGGACUAUUACCAGCCACUACAGAAACACACUGAAGUACACAGACCAGUGACACUAUACGGGAACUACAUAAACAUGUCUGCAAAAUAAUCAGCUAACAUCAUGAUGACAGGAUCAGAUCCUCACAUAUCAAUACUAACCUUAAAUGCAAAUGGGCUAAAUGCCCCAAUUAAAAGACACAGAAUGGCAAGCUGGAGAAAGAGUCAAAAUUCAUCGAUGUGCUAUAUUCAAGAGACCUACCUCACAUGGAGAGACACACAUAGACUCAAAAUAAAAGGAUGGAGGAAAAAAAAAAAGCAGAGGUUGCAAUCUCAAUUUCUGCCAAAACAGACUUUAAAACAACAAAGAUUAAAAAAGACAAAGGGCAUUACAUAAUGGUAAAGGGUUCAAUUCAACAAGAUCUAACUAUUCUAAAUAUAUAUAUACCCAACACAGGAACACCCAGAUUCAUAAAGCAAGUUCUUAGAGACCCUAAUAGAAACUUAAGACUCCCACACAAUAAUAGUGGGAGACUUUAACACCCCACUGACAAUAUUAGAUCAUUGAGACAGAAAAUUAACAAAGAUACUCAGGACCUGAACUCAGCACUGGAUCAAAUAUAUACACAACACUGGAUCACAGAAUAUACAUUCUUCUCAUUGCCACAAAACAUGUACUCUUAAAAUUGAUCAUAUAAUCGGAAGUAAAACACUCUUCAGCAAAAGCAAAAGAACUGAAAUAGUAACAAACAGUCUCUUGGACCACAGCACAAUCAAAUUAGAACUCAAGACUAAGAAAUUCACUCAAAACCAUACAAUUGCAUGGAAAUUGAAUAACCUGCUCCUGAAUUACUUUGGAGUAAAUAAUGAAAUUAAGUCAGAAAUCAAGAAGUUACUUGAAACUAAUGACAGCAAAGAUACAAUGUACCAGAAUCUCAAAUAAUGAAAUUAAGGCAGAAAUCAAGUUCUUUGAAACUAAUGAAAGCAAAGAUACAAUGUAACAGAGUCUCCAGGACACUGCUAAGGCAGUGUUAAGAGGGAAAUUUAUAGCACUAAAUGCCCAUAUCAAAAAGUUAGAAAGAUCUCAGGUUAACAACUUAACAUCACAACUAAAAGAACUGGAGAACCAAGAGGGAACAAAUCCCAAAGCUAGAAGACAAGAAAUAACAAAAAUCAGAGCUGAACUAAAGGAGAUCGUGACAUGAAAAACCAUUGAAAAGAUCAAUGAAUCCAGGAGCUUGCUUUUGAAAAAAAUAAUAAAAUAUAUAGACAACUAGCUAAACUAAUAAAGAAGAUUCAAACAAACACAAUCAGAAAUGAUAAGGAGGGCACUACCACUGACCUCACAGAAAUACAAACAACCAUCAGAGAAUAUUAUAAACACCUCUAUGCUUAUAAACUAAAAAAUCUAGAAGAAAUUGAUAAAUUCCUGGACCCAUACACCCUCCGAAGACUGAACCAGGAAGAAACUGAAUCCCUGAACAAACCAAUAACGAGUUCUGAAAUUGUACAAAGAAGAGCUGCGACCAUUCCUACGGGAACUAUUCCAAAAAAUUGAAAAGGUCAAACAAACACAAUCAGAAAUGAUAAGGGGGACAUUACCGCUGACCUCACAGAAAUACAAACAACCAUCAGCGAAUAUUAUAAACACCUUUAUGCUUAUAAACUAGAAAAUCUAGAAAAAAUUGAUAAAUUUCUGGACACAUACACCCUCCAAAGACUGAACUAGGAAGAAACUGAAUUCCUGAACAGACCAAUAAUGAGUUCUGAAAUUGUACAAAGAAGAGCUGCUACCAUUCCUACUGGAAAUAUUCCAAAAAACUGAAAAGGAGAGACUCCUCCCUAAUUCAUUCUAUGAGGCCAGCAUCAUUCUGCUACCAAAACCCAGCAGAAAUACAACAGAAAAGGAAUUCAGGCCAGUAUCCCUGAUGAACAUUGAUGCAAAAAUCCUCAACAAAAUAUUGGCAAACCAAAUCCAGCAGCACAUCAGAAAGCUUAUCUGCCACCAUCAAGUGGUCUUCAUCCCCGGGAUGCAAGGUUGGUUCAACAUACACAAAUCAGUAAGUGUAAUUUAUCACAUAAACAGAACUAAACACAAACUAAAGACAAAAACCACAAUUAACUCAAUAGAUGCAGAAAAGGCUUUCAAUAAAAUUCAACAUCCAUUCAUGUUUAAAACUCUCCAUAAACUAGGUAUUGAAGGAACAUACCUCAAAAUAAUAAUAAAAGUGAUAUAUGACAAACCCACAGCCAACAUCAUACUGAAUGAGCAAAAGAUGGAAGCAUUCCCCUUGAAAACUGGCACAAGACAAGGAUGCCCUGUCUGGCUACUCCUAUUCAACAUAGUAUUCAAAGUUCCGGCCAGGGCAAUUAGACAACCGAAAGAAAUAAAGUGCAUUCAAAUAGGAAAAGAGGAAGUCAAACUAUCCCUGUUUUUAGAUGACAGGAUCCUAUAUCUAGAAAACCCCAUUGUUUCAGCCCCAAAGCUUCUCAAGCUGACAAAUAACUUCAGCAAACCUCAGAAUACAAAAUCAAUAUGCAAAAAUCACUAGCCUAAAAUCAAAUUCCUAUAUACCAACAAGGGUCAGGCCAAGAGCCAAAUCACAAAUGAACUCCCAUGCACAAUUGCCAUAAAAAUAAUAAAAUAGCUAAAAAUACAGCUAACUAGGGAGGUGAAAGAUCUCUACAAGGAGAACAACAAACCACUGCUUAAAAAAAUCAGAGAUGACACAAAUUGAAAAACAUUCCAUGCUCAUAGAUAGGAAGAAUCAAUAUUGUGAAAAUGGCCAUACUGCCCAAAGCAAUUUAUAGAUUCAAUGCUAUUUCUAUUAAACUACCAUUGACAUUCUUCACAGAACUAGAAGAAACUAUUUUAAAAUUCACAUGGAACCAAAAAAGAGCCUGAAUAGCCAAGGCAAUCCUAAGCAAAAAGAACAAAGCUGGAGGCAUCAUGCUACCCAACUUCAAACUAUACUACAGGGCUACAGUAACCAAAACAGCAUGGUACUGGUAUAAGAACAGACACAUAGACCAAUGGAACAUAAUAGAGAACCCAGAAAUAAGACCACACACCUACAACUAUCCAAUCUUUGACAAAUCUGACAAAAAUAAGCAAUGGGGAAAGGAUUCCCUAUUCAUAAAUAGCAUAAAUAAAUGGUGCUGUGAUAACUGGCUAACCAUAUGCAGAAGAUUGAAACUGGACCCCUUCCUUACACAAUAUACAAAAAUUAACUCAAGAUGGGUUAAAGGCUUAAAUGUAAAACAAAAAAAUAUAAAAACCCUGGAAGACAACCUAUCAUUCAGGGCAUAGGCAUGGGCAAAGAUUUCAUAAUGAAGACACCAAAAUAACUGCAACAAAAGCAAAAGUUGACAAGUGGGAUCUAAUUAAACUAAAGAGCUUCUGUACAGCAAAAGAAACUACCAGCAGAAUAAACAGACAACCUACAGAAUGGGAGAAAAUUUUUGCAACCUAUGCAUCUGACAAAUGUCUAAUAUCCAGCAUCUAUAAGGAACUUAAAUUUACAAGAAAAGAAACAAACCACUCCAUUAAAAAGUGGGCAAAGAACAUGAACAGACAAAUUUCAAAAGAAGACAUACAUGCCGCCAAUAAUGUAAUGAAAAAAAGCUCAACAUCACUGAUCAUUAGAGAAAUGUAAAUCAAAACCACAAUGAGAUACCAUCUCACACCAGUCAGAAUGGCUAUUAUUAAAAAGUAAAAAAAAAUAGGUGCUGGUGAGUUUGUGGAAAAAAAGAAAUGUUAUAUAUUAUUGGUAGGGGUGUAAAUUAGUUCAGCCACCAUGGAAAACAGUAUGGCGAUUCCUCAAAUACCUAAAGAUAGAAAUACCAUUCGACCCAGCAAUCCCAUUACUGGGUAUAUACCCAAAGGAAUAUAAAUAAUUCUACAAAAAAGACACAUGCAUGCAUAUGUUUAUCACAGCACUAUUCACAGUAGCAAAGACAUGGAAUCAAACUAAAUGCCCAUCAAUGACAGACUGGAUAAACAAAAAGUGGUACAUACACACCAUGGAAUACUAUGCAGCCAUAAGAAAGAACAAGAUCAUGUCCUUUGUGGGGACAUGGUUGGAGCUGGAGGCCAUUAUCCUUAGCAAACUAACACAGGAACAGAAUACCAAACGCCACAUGUUGUCACUUUUAAGUGGGAGCUAAAUGAUGAGAACAUAUGGACACACAGAGGGAAACAACACACACUGGGUCCUUUUGGAGGGUGGAGGGUAGAAGUAGAGAGAGGAUCAGGAGAAACAACUAAUGGGUACUAGGCUUAAUUCCUGGAUGGUGAAAUAAUCUGUACAACAAACCCCACGACACAAGUUUACUGAUGUAACAAACUUGCACUUGUACCCCUAAAGUUAAAAUAAAUUUUUAAAAGAUUAAUUUUUUUUUAAAAAAGAAACAAAUAUUGGCUCCCUGACAGCCACUCUGAUUAUUCAUGGGUAAUCUAACUCACC